GGCGGCGUGGAUAAGACAUGCAAGUCGAGCGAGAUUUUUUCCUGUAGCAAUACAGGGAAAAGUCUAGCGGCGAACGGGUGCUUAACACGUGGGCAAUCUGUCUUAAAGUGGGGGAUAGCUCGGCGAAAGCCGAAUUAAUACCGCAUGUGAUUAGAAUGGACAUCCAUUCAAAAUUAAAGUCGGGGCAACCUGACGCUUUUUGAGGAGCCCGCGGCCUAUCAGCUAGUUGGUGAGGUAACGGCUCACCAAGGCUUUGACGGGUAGCUGGUCUGAGAGGACGACCAGCCGCACUGGGACUGAGACACGGCCCAGACACCUACGGGUGGCAGCAGUCGAGAAUUUUUCUCAAUGGGGGAAACCCUGAAGGAGCGACGCCGCGUGGAGGAUGAAGGUCUUCGGAUUGUAAACUCCUGUCAUUGGGGAACAAGGUGCAUACGUUAACUGCGUGUGCAUUGAUAGUACCCGAAGANGAAGAGACGGCUAACUCUGUGCCAGCAGCCGCGGUAAUACAGA
rnacentral:rRNA from 1 species